rnacentral:tRNA from 1 species
GUGGGUGUAGCUCAAGUGGUAGAGCGCAUGCUUAGCAUGCACGAGGUCCUGGGUUCAAUCCCCGGUACCUCCA